UACGUAGGGUCCGAGCGUUAAUCGGAAUUACUGGGCGUAAAGCGCGCGCAGGCGGUCCUUUAAGUCUGAUGUGAAAGCCCACGGCUCAACCGUGGAGGGUCAUUGGAAACUGGGGGACUUGAGUGCAGGAGAGAAGAGUGGAAUUCCCGGUGUAGCGGUGGAAUGCGUAGAUAUCGGGAGGAACACCAGUGGCGAAGGCGACUAUCUGGGGUGCAACUGACGCUGAGGCGCGAAGGCUAGGGUAGCAAACAGG
rnacentral:rRNA from 1 species